rnacentral:rRNA from 1 species
AAUGUAGGCUGUUUUGCAAGUCAGGGGUGAAAUCCCUCAGCUUAACUGAGGAAGUGCCUUUGAAACUGCAUAACUAGAGGACAGGAGAGGAAAGUGGAAUUCCCGGUGUAGCGGUGGAAUGCGUAGAUAUCGGGAGGAACACCAGAGGCGAAGGCGGCUUUCUGGACUGAUCCUGACGCUGAGAUUCGAAAGCUAGGGGAGCAAACAGGAUUAGAUACCCUGGUAGUCC